rnacentral:rRNA from 1 species
CUAACCCUGGAACUGCAUUUGAAACUGGCAGAAUUAGAGUCUUGUAGAGGGGGGUAGAAUUCCAGGUGUAGGCGGUGAAAUGCGUAGAGAUCUGAAGGAAAUACCGGUGGCGAAGGCGGCCCCCUGGACAAAAGACUGACGCUCAGGUGCGAAAAGCGUGGGGAGCAAACAGGAUUUAGAUACCCUGGUAGUCCACGCCGUAAACGAUGUCGACUUGGAGGUUGUGCCCUUGAGGGCGUGGCUUCCGGAGCUAACGCGUUAAGUCGACCGCCUGGGGAGUACGGCCGCAAGGUUAAAACUCAAAUGAAUUGACGGGGGCCCGCACAAGCGGUGGAGCAUGUGGUUUAAUUCGAUGCAACGCGAAGAACCUUACCUGGCCUUGACAUCCACGGAAUUCGGCAGAGAUGCCUUAGUGCCUUCGGGAACCGUGAGACAGGUGCUGCAUGGCUGUCGUCAGCUCGUGUUGUGAAAUGUUGGGUUAAGUCCCGCAACGAGCGCAACCCUUAUCCUUUGUUGCCAGCGCGUGAUGGCGGGAACUCAAAGGAGACUGCCGGUGACAAACCGGAGGAAGGUGGGGAUGACGUCAAGUCAUCAUGGCCCUUACGGCCAGGGCUACACACGUGCUACAAUGGUGCAUACAAAGAGAAGCGACCUCGCGAGAGCAAGCGGACCUCAUAAAGUGCGUCGUAGUCCGGAUCGGAGUCUGCAACUCGACUCCGUGAAGUCGGAAUCGCUAGUAAUCGUAGAUCAGAACGCUACGGUGAAUACGUUCCCGGGCCUUGUACACACCGCCCGUCACACCAUGGGAGUGGGUUGCAAAAGAAGUAGGUAGCUUAACCUCCGGGAGGGCGCUUACCACUUUGUGAUUCAUGACUGGGGUGAAGUAGUAACAAGGUAACC